rnacentral:rRNA from 1 species
GACGAACGCUGGCGGCGUGCUUAACACAUGCAAGUCGAACGGAAAGGCCCUGCUUUUGUGGGGUGCUCGAGUGGCGAACGGGUGAGUAACACGUGAGUAACCUGCCCUUGACUUUGGGAUAACUUCAGGAAACUGGGGCUAAUACCGGAUAGGAGCUCCUGCUGCAUGGUGGGGGUUGGAAAGUUUCGGCGGUUGGGGAUGGACUCGCGGCUUAUCAGCUUGUUGGUGGGGUAGUGGCUUACCAAGGCUUUGACGGGUAGCCGGCCUGAGAGGGUGACCGGCCACAUUGGGACUGAGAUACGGCCCAGACUCCUACGGGAGGCAGCGGUGGGGAAUAUUGCACAAUGGGCGGAAGCCUGAUGCAGCAACGCCGCGUGCGGGGUGACGGCCUUCGGGUUGUAAACCGCUUUCGCCUGUGACGAAGCGUGAGUGACGGUAAUGGGUAAAGAAGCACCGGCUAACUACGUG